rnacentral:tRNA from 1 species
CUAAGGAAGUUUCUUGCAGGUCAGCCCGCUGACCUCGUGAAACGACUUAGCAGAUCGUCAGUCAGACGAUCACAUCACGGUCCAGGCCGUCCUCAUAUCUCUUCAGUCCAUGGAAAUCACAGGCCUACCGGUCUGGACUGGGUCGGUAGCUCAGGUGGUUAGAGCGCACGCCUGAUAAGCGUGAGGUCGGAGGUUCAAGUCCUCCUCGACCCACCAUCAUCCCUCGGGAUCGACGGGGCGUUAGCUCAGCUGGGAGAGCACCUGCUUUGCAAGCAGGGGGUCGUCGGUUCGAUCCCGACACGCUCCACCAUCUUCCGAUUUGAUCAUCAAGCGCAUGCCGUGCGCUCGAUCGUCCAAUCGGACGAAAUUGACAUCGUAUAGAGAGAUACAACAAUCAACUCUGUUUGAUUGCCGCGAGUAUGUGGCGAUCUCGGUUGGUUCCAUCGCAAGAUGGAAGGCAUCACGCGGGCUGCUUCCUCAACCCGCGCCGGUGUAUCCCGGCCGAAAAGAACAGAAUUGUCCAAGUCAAGUACACUAACCAAAUGCCGCCUCACGAACCAGGAGGCGGUGGGUAAGUACUAACUUUUGAUCGGGAAAAGCCUGUCUUUUCCUGGAUCAAAUCAAGCGCAAGAAGGGCGUUUG